AGGUAUAUAGCUCAGUGGUAGAGGGCAUGCUUAGCAUGCAUGAGGUCCUGGGUUCAAUCCUCAGUACCUCCA
rnacentral:tRNA from 1 species